rnacentral:rRNA from 1 species
CCCUUAGAUGUUCUGGGCCGCACGCGCGCUACACUGACGGAUUCAACGAGCUUACAACCUUGGCCGAAAGGUCUGGGUAAUCUCCAAAAUCCGUCGUGAUGGGGAUAGAUUAUUGCAAUUAUUAAUCUUCAACGAGGAAUGCCUAGUAAGCGCAAGUCAUCAGCUUGCGUUGAUUACGUCCCUGCCCUUUGUACACACCGCCCGUCGCUCCUACCGAUUGAAUGGUCCGGUGAAGCGUUUGGACUAUGGUUUUCUGAUGAUCCGCCGUUGGAUUACCGUGGGAAGUUCGUUAAACCUUAUCAUUUAGAGGAAGGAGAAGUCGUAACA